UCGAGCGAGUCUGCCUUGAAGAUCGGAAUGCUUGCACUCUGUGAAACAAGAUACAGGCUAGCGGCGGACGGGUGAGUAACACGUGGGUAACCUGCCCAAGAGAUCGGGAUAACACCUGGAAACAGAUGCUAAUACCGGAUAACAACAGAUGAUGCCUAUCAACUGUUUAAAAGAUGGUUCUGCUAUCACUCUUGGAUGGACCUGCGGUGCAUUAGCUAGUUGGUAGGGUAACGGCCUACCAAGGCGAUGAUGCAUAGCCGAGUUGAGAGACUGAUCGGCCACAUUGGGACUGAGACACGGCCCAAACUCCUACGGGAGGCAGCAGUAGGGAAUCUUCCACAAUGGACGCAAGUCUGAUGGAGCAACGCCGCGUGAGUGAAGAAGGGUUUCGGCUCGUAAAGCUCUGUUGUUGGUGAAGAAGGACAGGGGUAGUAACUGACCUUUGUUUGACGGUAAUCAAUUAGAAAGUCACGGCUAACUACGUGCCAGCAGCCGCGGUAAUACGUAGGUGGCAAGCGUUGUCCGGAUUUAUUGGGCGUAAAGCGAGUGCAGGCGGCUCGAUAAGUCUGAUGUGAAAGCCUUCGGCUCAACCGGAGAAUUGCAUCAGAAACUGUCGAGCUUGAGUACAGAAGAGGAGAGUGGAACUCCAUGUGUAGCGGUGAAAUGCGUAGAUAUAUGGAAGAACACCGGUGGCGAAGGCGGCUCUCUGGUCUGUUACUGACGCUGAGGCUCGAAAGCAUGGGUAGCGAACAGGAUUAGAUACCCUGGUAGUCCAUGCCGUANACGAUGAGUGCUAAGUGUUGGGAGGUUUCCGCCUCUCAGUGCUGCAGCUAACG
rnacentral:rRNA from 1 species